GCAAUGAGUGCGCGAGCAUAAAAAUGAGAAUAAGAAUGAGAGAGCAAAAAACCCGAACGCACACGAAGUGCAGGGGCCUGUUGCUGUGAGCACGGCGGGCCUCCCGUGAUCCGUUUUUUUGCGUCCAAAUGCCUUGUAUGAAAUGACCAGUCUAUAUGUUGUAUGGUUAGUGGUCCGAGCAAGGAAAGUACGAGACCUUUUGUCGUACCGCAGGCGUCUCCGAUCGUAUGCAUUUUCGAGGUUCUUCAGCACCUUGUCAUGGAUCACUUGGAGUUUAUCAAACGUUCUGAUCCCCGCCAUUUCGUGAUCACACAGCGACUUCAACAUCCUUGCCAACUUGAAGCUGGCUCCGUUCAGGAAGAUGUGUCAUCUGAAUAAGGUGAAGAACGGAGCUUCUCCGGUUGCGUAAUGAAUCGCGUUGCGGAUGGGCACCUGUAGUGGAGUAUAGAAAGACAUAUCGUAUGUUUAGUUGCGCCACCUAGCGGGCGGUAUAGGCUGUAAAUGGCAACCUUAAAGUGGAAGAUUAAUCGUCAAUAGGUAGGACUGCAUUAGCGUUAAGGUUUUUAGCGAAACCCCAGCUCUAAUCCCGGUUGUAACCCAUCUUGUAAUAUCCGCCCUCGAAAACCUCAUGAUUUCUUCUUAAUCUGACUCUCGACCUGAGCGGUUGUAUAGCUGGCAUAACAACAGCGAUAAUACAACUAAAAGUAAAGAGGUUGUGGCCGAUCAAGACUUUCACAGCUCACCACUGCACAAAUUUUUGCACGGCAUAAGGUGUUACAGUCGCAGUGAACCAAUUCUUGGCCAGAUUCUGGCCAAAACGGUUAAUUACUACCCCCUCACGGGGGACGGCAUUCUUACAUGCCCUUUCGUCGCCGAGUACCGCCGGCGAUCGUAUCAUCAGUCAUUUCUGCCCCAAAAAGGCAGUUCAGUUCGCCAACGUCUUCAACUAAACCCCGGUGCAACGAGGAUAAGGAAACCCCAUCAGGAGCUCAACAUAACCAGCGCCAACAGCAUGCCGCAAUAGUGUACAGUGCAUUUUUUUUUGGUAUCAUACGUCUGUCGAACUAAUUAAAGUGCAUACCAAAAAGUGUUUAUAAAUUCGUCUGUGCUCAGCUAAUCAACAAAUAUCGCCUAAAGUAGUAAUUCCCAUAGUGAAGUGACUAAAACUAGGUCAGAAUAGUGCUUAAAAGUAGUAGUAAAGUAAACGCAAAGCAAAACGCGUAUAUAAAAGUAAACGCAAGCUAUAUACACAUAUAAAAGUAAACAAAAAAAAAAAACACGGGUUAAAGUGAGCUGAAUGCAUGUAAAAGUAAACGCAAACCUAAAUGUAAACACCAAAAUAAAAGCAAUCCCAGUUGUUUACGCAAAUAAAGUGUACUACAUUUGAAAUCGCCAAGUAAAUACAUAAAACUCAAUGAAGACAAAGAAAUCGUAUAAGAUAAGGCUAAGUUCUAUUAAGUAAAAUCAAUAAAAAUAUGAGUAAGUUAAAAUGUUAAACGAAAUAUGAAUAUGAAAAUGAGAAUUAGUUGAACAUAAGGAGAGAACAAGAGGUUCGAAAGUUUUUUCAUCGUUAGAUAUAAAUAGAGUAAAAAGAUGCGAGUAUAGGCAAAGAGUAAGAACAUGUAAAAUUCAAGGGAUGUGUAUGCAAAUUUCGGUCACGUUAAAUAUGUGCAGACGUAUGAGCCGAUAAGGUAAUAAUUGCCGAACUUCUUUGGUUUGCAUUUGUUUACAAUUUUUGAGCAACACCACCAACAUAUUGAAGCGCUUUCAUUAGUGGGAUAUCUCAGGUGAGCCAAGUUUGACAAUUUUAUACCCUUGAGAGUUAUCCGAAAUUUUAUUACGCAAUUAAGUGAUCGAGUGUAAAGUAAUACUAAAUAAAAUGUAAAGUAAAUAAAUACUAAAUAAAAUGUCUGAAUGCUAACGAUAAUUUUUCUUAUGAAACAAAUAGGAAAAAAAAGUGUAAAUUUGUAAUAUUAAAUUUAAAUAUAUUUUAUUAUCCUUUAGUUACCGUAAUUGAGAUCGCACGAUAUAUGAAGUUAUGAAAAUUUAAAGUUUUAUUAAGGAUUAUGCAUGCUAGUUUUAAACAAUACCUGUGUACAAAAAUAUCUAAUUUUAAAUGAAGUCUAUAUCUUUCCCUUUUAUAUUUAGUAAAUAAACAAUGAUUAUAAUGUCUGAGUAAACAAUCAUAUUUUAACUCCGUGCUGACCCGAGAGCCGUCGUGAAAUCAAUUAUUUAAAGGGGCCUGAUGCAGUAUUUUAUUGGGCUGAUAACACCCCAUUUACAUCUAGGGGCGUGUAAUGUGAGAAGUGCUAUUUCUAUAUGUCUGUUUGUUAUGCUAUCUCUUUUCCGGCCGAUAUUGGCUCGUUGCCUGUUUGCACGCGAUACAUUUUAAUUGUUAAAGAUAUUCAAGAGCACCCGUAAGCUGCAGCCUCUCAAGAACACCACGACAUUCGCUGACGAGUUAGAGCCGGAUUUAAACGCGUGCAGGGCUAACAGUUUGCAAUACCAUCAGCUCAACGUUGCUCGUUACACACCUCAAUCUCCGGAAGAUACGCGUCCCAUUCUCGAUGGUCUUCUUCUAAAUAGCUUCGGAUCGCCGCCAACACGCUUUGGUUUACCCUUUCAACUGCGUUGCUUUGCGGAGAGUGGACUGGCGUCUUAAUGUGCGUAAUACCAAUACCAUCGCCUCCUCGAAGAUCUUGGACAUAAUCUGGCGGCCGUUGUCCGAAUGCACUAUUUAUGGAAUUCCGAACUUAAAGAAAACCCCGUGAAUGAGGAACUCCACUACAUUUGGUGCCGAUAACUCUUGCAUGGCCAUAAGCUGCCGUUGGAUCCGAAUGUGCACGCACAAUUCUGCUGUGGAUCGGACUCUGGGGAAUCCACAAUUUCCAUACGAAGCCUUCAAUCAUCCAGAUUUGAAGAAGACUCUCUUGAAGAUGAGACCGUCCACUAUCCCCAAAUCAGUAAACUCGGUGGUCUCGAAGCCGACCAACUGUGACGGGUCCACCGUUAGCUCUCAAACACAACACGAAAGGGUAUAUGCCACGACGUUCUCGCUUCCUGUGGUCGAUGUUGGAGUGAAAUCCCUGGAGCUGCAAUGACCACCGAGCCAGCCGACCCCAAAGGUUUUUCAUAGACAUAAGCCACUUUAAGCUGGCAUUAUCCGUGAUGCACGUAAACGGCAUUCCAUCAACUUACGGCCGGAACUUUCGAAUGGCCAGUAGGGCCGCGAGACAUUCUCUUUCGGUAACGGUGUAGUGAACUUGGUGACGAUUCAUCUAGGCCGAAACUAACGCUAUUGGCUGCUCCUGGCCGACUUCAUCCCGCUGGAACAACACUUCACCGACUCCGAUCUGGGAUGCAUCGCACUGGAUGAAAAAGUGCCGCUUGAAGUCAGCAUGUACCAAAACUGGCGCAGUUGCAAGGGCCAUUUUCAAGGACUCCACUGCCAGCUUUGCUUCUGGACUCAAGGAAAACUUUUUAUUUCCAGUCCUCUUCAAGGAUUCCGUAAGCGGAGCUGCCAACGUCGCGAAGUUCUUUAUAAACCGACGGUACCAACCACCGGUUCCAAGAACGGCUCUCAUUUCCUUCAUGGUCCUUGGCUCAGGCAUUCUCCUAAUAGCUGAUACACGCCCUGGAUCUCAGCUGGAAUCACUCGGUCCAUGAGUCUCACCAGCCUCUGUGAUGCGUUACACAGUCCAAAAGGCAUCACACGGAACUGGUAAACAGACAGACCAGGAACCGUAAGUGCUGUGUUUUCCUUGCUGUUCGUGUCCAACUCAAUCUGCCUGAAAGCUGGAAAUGUAAUACGUUUGGUCGAUUCUGGACAGGAUGCCGUCUAGCUGGGCAACGGGUAAGCAUCUCUAAUGGCCAAUUCCAGACCUUGACACUACGGUGAUGCGGUUGCUCCAGGCGCUUUUACUCGACGACUCCGAACGCUAGCAUCUUGUCGACCUCGUCCUCGACCACCUUCUGCUUCGCGGAGACAUCGGAUAGGGUCGAUCGUUGAACACUUUGGCUCGUUCAAUCAGCUCAAUCAUGUGCUUCUACAGACUGGUGGUACCUAAGCCAUCCCUCUCGAAAGUCACGAACUGCUUCUUGAUCUCCUCCAGCUCUUGUUCAUCGGCCUUGGAAAACGUCCAGGACUCGGGAUCGGCUUUCUCCUCGUCGUCAUCCUCGACCUCAGCGUAGUGCUCCAUCUCCCUAGCGUGUAUUUCUUCGGCCUUCUUCAAGCUUUCGGAAGCGAUGUGGCCUAUUAUUGCUGGAACCAGUCCGAACGCUUGCUAAAAAUCCACUCCAAAAUAAGCUGGCUGCUCCAGAAGCCGUUCGGACUGCGGAUAGGUACUUCUCAACGCGCACAUCUAAUACCUCUACCAGCUCUCUGCCACCUUUACCAAGCAGACUAACACUCGCUCCAAAGUACAACAACACCAUCAGUUGCUUGGUCCGGACUCGGACUGCGGCGAAUGGUCUGGGAUCUCGCGAUAAACUCCGCUUCACGGCGGCCACUGCUUCGCGUCGAAAUCGAUCCCUGGCCUUCUAAACCUUGCGAGACACCAUACGCAUCCCACCUCUAGGUACCGUCGCAUCCUCUCCGCAUCGGUCGACCGUUUUCCGCACAACCCAGACAUUUGGGAGACACGGUGUCUGGCUUUCCAUAUCGGUAGCUGAACAGUCUGCGUUCUGUCGCUGCGCAGUCACGGAACCCGUGAUCCACGAAAUUGGUGGCUUGGGUGUUAUUGCCACGACGCAACCACCCUUCCUUGGGUGCCCCAAAGCUAAUGUUGGAGGCACACCCUAUCUCCGGCAGAACGGAGUCUAUUCCUGGUGGAUUAGGAUCGGCUCAUGUCCCCGCCCAAAGUAACUUACACAAAUAUUUCGGCCGUUUGUUUACAUUUAAUUUUCUGCAAGAUUGU